UACGGGGGGAGCAAGCGUUGUUCGGAUUUACUGGGCGUAAAGCGCGUGUAGGCGGCCCGGUAAGUCCGCUGUGAAAGUCGGGGGCUCAACCCUCGAAUGCCGGUGGAUACUGUCGGGCUAGAGUACGGAAGAGGCGAGUGGAAUUCCUGGUGUAGCGGUGAAAUGCGCAGAUAUCAGGAGGAACACCCAUUGCGAAGGCAGCUCGCUGGGACGUUACUGACGCUGAGACGCGAAAGCGUGGGGAGCAAACAGG
rnacentral:rRNA from 1 species